AGUGACGCUGGCGGUAGGCCUAACACAUGCCAGUCGCACGGCAGCACAGUAAGAGCUUGCUCUUACGGGUGGCGAGUGGCGGACGGGUGAGGAAUACAUCGGAAUCUACUUUUUCGUGGGGGAUAACGUAGGGAAACUUACGCUAAUACCGCAUACGACCUACGGGUGAAAGCAGGGGAUCUUCGGACCUUGCGCGAUUGAAUGAGCCGAUGUCGGAUUAGCUAGUUGGCGGGGUAAAGGCCCACCAAGGCGACGAUCCGUAGCUGGUCUGAGAGGAUGAUCAGCCACACUGGAACUGAGACACGGUCCAGACUCCUACGGGAGGCAGUAGUGGGGAAUAUUGGACAAUGGGCGCAAGCCUGAUCCAGCCAUACCGCGUGGGUGAAGAAGGCCUUCGGGUUGUAAAGCCCUUUUGUUGGGAAAGAAAAGCAGCAGGUUAAUACCCCGCUGUUCUGACGGUACCCAAAGAAUAAGCACCGGCUAACUUCGUG
rnacentral:rRNA from 1 species